GUAUUUAGUUUUGCUGCAACAAAAAUGGAUAUGAUUAGAGAGAAAAACCACCAACUUAUCAAGUGAUGCUCUUAUCUUCAAAUCGCAAGGAUCGAAUAUGCAAGUCAAAUUGAAUGCACCAUGCUCAGGAGUAAUUUACCGAUGCAUUAGUCACGAACGAGAAUCAUUGAGAAAGUGGACUCGAUCAUUGAUGGUUAUUUCCCAAUCGCAAAUAUUAACGAAGGAGUUCCAAUGUCGUGUAACAAUUUCGCAAUACCUUGAUGACUUAAUAGAGUAAGCCGCAGCGACGGUACUUGAGGAAGAUCGAAGAUGAAGCCACGCCAGACAACGGAAAGGAUCUGCCAACCCUCGGCGACGUGGUGCGCCGAUGGACAUGGAGGAAGAAGGGGAGAGCAUCGCGAGCGCGCUAUUGGAGCGUGGCACGAACGACGGCGGAGGCCGAGGCGGAGCGGUUAGGAGAAAGCGAAAGGGACGAAGUGGCGAAGUAGCAUUAGACAUAAGAUGGGCCGGGCUAAAGCAAAUAGGCCCAACUAGUAUCAUGUUUAUAGCCUUUCACUCUCCACUUUAUUUGUUUAGUAUAAUAAUAAAUAUAAAUAAAGCGAUUUUGGAAAGGAAA